UCCGGGGUGUGUGAUAGUAAGUAAGGUUGAUCCUGUGUCUCCUUUUUCUCAUGUAAAAUAGGUUCCACGUGCCUACAUGAAAUGGGGUUGUAAUGAAGAUAAAAGUUAACUGAUAUAUUCUAAAUAUCUGGCACAGAGUUGAAAUUCAGUAUGGAGCAGUUGUAUUAGUAAAAUUGCAAAUUCUCCAGAAUGGGAAAAGGGGGACUUUUUCAUACGCAGAACUGAAGAUGCCACAGAGAGAGAGAAAAUGCUUCAUGUUUGAAUGAAGAUUCUUGAGAAAUCAAGAAAGUAUGGGGAAAGGAGCUAUAGCAGAAAAGUGUCUUUGGACAGGUGGAAAAAUACAUGGGAGGCAGAGAGAAGAAAUUGCCCAGUGCCAAACAGAUACAAGUUCAUGAAAGAAAGCAAACAGUUCAAAGUCACUAUAAUCCUGAAUGCGUAUUGUUCUUAAAUUAAGAAAUAGAUGAAUCCUACCUAAUUGGUAUUUUUUUCUUAUUCAGUAUUUUGCACUUUGGUAUAAUUGGUAUUUGACAAAUUAGAAAUUAGCAAACAAAGGAUAAAUGUAGUACAAUUUAACCAACUUUUAAUAUGUGAAUAGUGACUUAUCUGUCUGAAGGAGCGCCAUAUUUCUAUUUUUGCCUGAAGUUUCCUGAGGUUGGAAAAUGCCUUCUUAAUCUUCAAAUUUACUUGAAGAUGGUUUUAUAGGUAGAGAAAUGUCCAUUUUUUCUUUUUUCUUCUCUAAAAGCACAACUUUUUAAAAUAAUU